rnacentral:lncRNA from 1 species
UUGUCCCCGUUACAUGCUUCCGCGAUUCGGACACACACAAACACCUCCGAGAUCUCGGAUCCACGACGACGACGACGACGACGACGACGACACGCUCCGAUUCUUCCCCCUCCACCUUUGAUACGAACCUGCGCCGUCGCCAAAAUCUCGCGCGAUAAUCCCCCUCGCGAUUCGCUCAGGUUCGAUCGCUCUCUAUCUCCAUCUCCAUCUCCAUCUCAUUCGAUUGAGUGAGAAGUUGGUUUAAACUCAAUAUUAAAAAUUAAUUUAAAUUUAAAAUUUAUUUAAAAAAUUUAAAAACAUAAUACAUCAAAAAAAAAAUCGUUAACUUCUCUCCCCGCGCCUGCCGCCGCUCGCUCUCCACCUGCGCGCCGGCCCUCCCCUCGGCAGCGGACAUCUCCGUGGCCGCUGCUGCCGCCGCUGCGCGCGGACAUCUCCG